GGACGAACGCUGGCGGCGUGCUUAACACAUGCAAGUCGAACGGAAAGGACCUUCGGGGUACUCGAGUGGCGAACGGGUGAGUAACACGUGGGUGAUCUGCCCUGCACUCUGGGAUAAGCCUGGGAAACUGGGUCUAAUACCGGAUAGGACCACACACUUCAUGGUGAGUGGUGCAAAGCUUUUGCGGUGUGGGAUGAGCCCGCGGCCUAUCAGCUUGUUGGUGGGGUAAUGGCCCACCAAGGCGACGACGGGUAGCCGGCCUGAGAGGGUGACCGGCCACACUGGGACUGAGAUACGGCCCAGACUCCUACGGGAGGCAGCAGUGGGGAAUAUUGCACAAUGGGCGCAAGCCUGAUGCAGCGACGCCGCGUGAGGGAUGACGGCCUUCGGGUUGUAAACCUCUUUCAGUAGGGACGAAGCGAAAGUGACGGUACCUACAGAAGAAGGACCGGCCAACUACGUGCCAGCAGCCGCGGUAAUACGUAGGGUCCGAGCGUUGUCCGGAAUUACUGGGCGUAAAGAGCUCGUAGGUGGUUUGUCGCGUUGUUCGUGAAAACUCACAGCUUAACUGUGGGCGUGCGGGCGAUACGGGCAGACUAGAGUACUGCNNNGGAGACUGGAAUUCCUGAUGUAGCGGUGGAAUGCGCAGAUAUCAGGAGGAACACCGGUGGCGAAGGCGGGUCUCUGGGCAGUAACUGACGCUGAGGAGCGAAAGCGUGGGUAGCGAACAGGAUUAGAUACCCUGGUAGUCCACGCCGUAAACGGUGGGUACUAGGUGUGGGUUUCCUUCCUUGGGAUCCGUGCCGUAGCUAACGCAUUAAGUACCCCGCCUGGGGAGUACGGUCGCAAGACUAAAACUCAAAGGAAUUGACGGGGGCCCGCACAAGCGGCGGAGCAUGUGGAUUAAUUCGAUGCAACGCGAAGAACCUUACCUGGGUUUGACAUGCACAGGACGUACCUAGAGAUAGGUAUUCCCUUGUGGCCUGUGUGCAGGUGGUGCAUGGCUGUCGUCAGCUCGUGUCGUGAGAUGUUGGGUUAAGUCCCGCAACGAGCGCAACCCUUGUCCUAUGUUGCCAGCGGGUAAUGCCGGGGACUCGUAGGAGACUGCCGGGGUCAACUCGGAGGAAGGUGGGGAUGACGUCAAGUCAUCAUGCCCCUUAUGUCCAGGGCUUCACACAUGCUACAAUGGCCAGUACAGAGGGCUGCGAAGCCGCAAGGUGGAGCGAAUCCCUUAAAGCUGGUCUCAGUUCGGAUUGGGGUCUGCAACUCGACCCCAUGAAGUCGGAGUCGCUAGUAAUCGCAGAUCAGCAACGCUGCGGUGAAUACGUUCCCGGGCC
rnacentral:rRNA from 1 species